GGAUAUCCGGCCUGUUUCGGUGAACGGACACACUGGAACUGAGACACGGUCCAGACUCCUACGGGAGGCAGCAGUAGGGAAUAUUGCUCAAUGGGGGAAACCCUGAAGCAGCAACGCCGCGUGGAGGAUGAAGGUUUUAGGAUUGUAAACUCCUUUUGUUAGAGAAGAUAAUGACGGUAUCUAACGAAUAAGCACCGGCUAACUCCGUGCCAGCAGCCGCGGUAAUACGGAGGGUGCAAGCGUUACUCGGAAUCACUGGGCGUAAAGAGUGCGUAGGCGGGAUAGUCAGUCAGGUGUGAAAUCCUAUGGCUUAACCAUAGAACUGCAUUUGAAACUACUAUUCUAGAGUGUGGGAGAGGUAGGUGGAAUUCUUGGUGUAGGGGUAAAAUCCGUAGAGAUCAAGAGGGAAUACUCAUUGCGAAGCGACUGCUGGAACAUUACUGACGCUGAUUGCCCCGAAAGCGUGGGGGAGCAAACAGGAUUAGAU
rnacentral:rRNA from 1 species